UACGAGGGGGGCGAGCGUUGUUCGGAAUCACUGGGCGUAAAGCGCACGCAGGCGGAUUGAUAAGUCAGGGGUGAAAUCCCGGGGCUCAACCUCGGAAUUGCCUUUGAUACUGUCUGUCUUGAGUUCGGGAGAGGUUGGCGGAAUUCCUAGUGUAGAGGUGAAAUUCGUAGAUAUUAGGAAGAACACCAGUGGCGAAGGCGGCCAACUGGCCCGAUACUGACGCUCAUGUGCGAAAGCGUGGGGAGCAAACAGGG
rnacentral:rRNA from 1 species